UACGAAGGGGGCUAGCGUUGCUCGGAAUCACUGGGCGUAAAGCGCACGUAGGCGGACUCUUAAGUCGGUGGUGAAAUCCUGGAGCUCAACUCCGGAACUGCCUUCGAUACUGAGAGUCCUGAGUCCGGGAGAGGUGAGUGGAACUGCGAGUGUAGAGGUGAAAUUCGUAGAUAUUCGCAAGAACACCAGUGGCGAAGGCGGCUCACUGGCCCGGUACUGACGCUGAGGUGCGAAAGCGUGGGGAGCGAACAGG
rnacentral:rRNA from 1 species